rnacentral:rRNA from 1 species
GACGAACGCUGGCGGCGUGCUUAACACAUGCAAGUCGAACGGAAAGGCCCUGCUUGUGUGGGGUUCUCGAGUGGCGAACGGGUGAGGAACACGUGAGUAACCUGCCCUUGACUUUGGGAUAACUUCAGGAAACGGGGGCUAAUACCGUAUAGGAGCUCCUGCUGCAUUGUGGGGGGUGGAAAGUUUCGGCGGUCGGGGAUGGACUCGCGGCUUAUCAGCUUGUUGGUGGGGUAGUGGCUUACCAAGGCAUUGACGGGUAGCCGGCCUGAGAGGGUGACCGGCCACAAGGGGACUGAGAUAGGGACCAGACUCCAACGGGAGGCAGCAGUGGGGAAUAUUGCACAAUGGGCGGAAGCCUGAUGCAGCAACGCCGCGUGCGGGAUGCCGGCCUUCGGGGUGUAAACCGCUUUCGCCUGUGACGAAGCGUGAGUGACGGUACUGGGUAAAGAAGCACCGGCUAACUACGUG